rnacentral:rRNA from 1 species
UACGAAGGGGGCUAGCGUUGCUCGGAAUUACUGGGCGUAAAGCGCACGUAGGCGGCUUUCUAAGUCGGGGGUGAAAUCCUGGAGCUCAACUCCAGAACUGCCUUCGAUACUGGAGAGCUUGAGUCCGGGAGAGGUGGGUGGAACUGCGAGUGUAGAGGUGAAAUUCGUAGAUAUUCGCAAGAACACCAGUGGCGAAGGCGGCUCACUGGCCCGGUACUGACGCUGAGGUGCGAAAGCGUGGGGAGCAAACAGG